rnacentral:lncRNA from 1 species
GGACUCCCAGAGGAUGUGCGAGGCAGAAGAGGGUAGAAAGAGAACCAGCCAUUUUGCUCAUCAUCAACAAACCUUGACCAAGGAAGUGUCUGCGUGUGCAAUGUGCCAUCUGAACCCUGGAGGCAUAAGCAGUAUGGUCACUUGUCCCAGCAUUGUUGGGAAGUGAAAAUGUAUCCAUGGAAAGAGAGCAGAAAGAUAAGACUACGCCCCGGGGAUAAUGAAAAAGAGAGGACUUGACCGCUGAGGGAUGGAGUUCCAAGGAAGGCAGUCCUUGAUGGGGCCAAGCAGCAGGGGAAGACGGGCGCUAUCAGGCUGGGGACAGAGCCCAAGCCAAGACCCAGGUGUAUGAAUGGACAGGACCUGAGAUGACCCGGUGGGUCAAACUGUCUGACUGUAGAAGAGGAGCUGGGCAGAGAGCAGAGGUCCAGGGACAGGCCAAGGUUUGGAAUGCCAAGGUUUGGAAUUUAGGCUUGGCCCUGUGGGUAAUGGAGAGCUAUCAGUGGGUUUCAAGCAAAAGGGAGAUACCAAGUGCUGUGGCCAGCCAUGUUUCAGGAAGAUUGUUCUUGUCCACCUUUGUUUAUGUCAACCACAUUUAGAAGUAACAAAUGUCUG